GAUGAACGCUGGCGGCGUGCCUAAUACAUGCAAGUCGAGCGGCAGCGCGAGUAGUUUACUACUUGGCGGCGAGCGGCGGACGGCUGAGUAACGCGUGGGAAUCUGCCCCAAAGUGAGGGAUAAGCACCAGAAAUGGUGUCUAAUACCGCAUAUGAUCUUCGGAUUAAAGCUUUCGAGCGCUUUGGGAGGAGCCCGCGUCGGAUUAGAUUGUUGGUGAGGUAAUGGCUCACCAAGUCGACGAUCCGUAGCUGGUCUGAGAGGAUGAUCAGCCAGACUGGAACUGAGACACGGUCCAGACUCCUACGGGAGGCAGCAGUAAGGAAUCUUCCACAAUGGGCGAAAGCCUGAUGGAGCAACGCCGCGUGCAGGAUGAAGGCCUUCGGGUUGUAAACUGCUUUUAUAAGUGAGGAAUAUGACGGUAACUUAUGAAUAAGGAUCGGCUAACUACGUGCCAGCAGCCGCCGUAACAC
rnacentral:rRNA from 1 species